AUCUACACAGCCACCAAGCACAUCCAGCGAUUCCAAGGACGAUGGUGACGACAAUUCUGAGAAGGAUGGCGACAAUGAUUCCAAGGAGGGUGGCAACGACGAUUCUGUAGAGCAUGGCGAUGACGAUUCCGAGGAGGAUGGUGAUGACGAUUCUGUAGAGGAUGGCCACGACGACUCUGAGGAGGAUGGCGACGACGACUCUGAGGAGGAUGGCGACGACGACUCUGAGGAGGAUGGCGACGACAACUCUGAGGAGGAUGGCGACGACAACUCCGAGGAGGAUGGCGACGACGACUCUGAGGAUGAUGAUGAUUCCGGCUAUGAUGAGGACUCCACAACAACUCGGCAAGCAACAACUUCCAGUGCAUCCAUGACCACUAAGCAGGCAACCACACCCACCAGAACUCUAGUUACGGAAGAGACAACCACAUCUGCAUCUACACAGCCACCAAGCACAUCCAACGUGUCAUUGACCACAAAGCAGAGAACCACAUUCCAUGGAUCUAUGACCACAAUGACCACAUCCAGAUCCUCCACAUCUGCAGAACAGACAGCCUUUGCCAGUGCAUCUUGGAUGACUCAGCCAAGGACCACAUCUGGAUCUUCGACAUCCCCUCAACAACCAACCACAUUCAGUGAAUCUAUGACCACUAAACCAAGGACCAUGUCCACUCAAAAGACAACUACAUCCAGUGGAUCUACGACUACGCAGCUGAGGUCAACAUCCAGUGCCUCCACAACAGCUUGGCAGGCAACAUUGUCCAGUGAUUCCAUGACCACUCAGUCAAAGACCACAUCCAGAUUCCUCACAACAGCUCAGCAGGCAACCACAUCCAGCGCAUCAACGACCACUAAGCAGACAUCCACAUCGACCAGAACUCCAAUGACUCAGGAGGCGACGUCUGCAUCUACACAGCGGCCAAGUGCAUCCAGCGAUUCCGACGAGGAUGGUGAUGACAAUUCCGAGGAGGAUGGCGAUAACGAUUUUGAUGAGGAUGGCAACACCGAUUUCGAGGAGGAUGAUAACGAUUCUCAGGGGGUGGCAACAGCGGUUCCAAGGAGGAUGAUGAUGAUUCCGAGGAUGACGAGGAUUCCAAGGAUGAUGACAACAAUGGCGAUACCGAGGAGGAUGACAAUGGUGAUUCCGAGGAUGAUGACAAUUCUGAGGACGGUGAUGAUUCCGAGGACGAUGAUUCCAACUACAGCGAGAAUUCCACAAAAGCUCAGCAAGCAACUUCCAGCACAUCCACGACCAAUAAGCAGACAACCACAUCCACCAGAACUCCGAUUACUCAAGAGACAACCACAUCCGGAUGAUGAUGAAGAUUCCAAGAAGGAUGCACGAUUCUGGGGAUGACGACAAUGACAACAACAAUUCCGAUGACAAUAAUGAUAACGAUUCUGAGGACGACAAUGAAUCCAACUACAAAG
ensembl:lncRNA